rnacentral:lncRNA from 1 species
GGUGAAGUAUAACAAUGAUUUUACUAGGAAAAUUUUAUUAGGGUUUUACAUCUCUUUUACAUCAGUUUUACAAGGAAUUUAAAACGAAAUUAGGUAAUUCAAAGCACAAUGAAUACACGUUUUCACCAAUAAAUAACGGUAACAUGUUUCAUCGUAAUAUCCUCAUAAAUUUACGACGAAUAUUGUUCGCGACGUACUUUCGUCGUAAAUUUACAAAGUGUUUACGAUAAAACGUUGUCCUUGUAAUUUUAUGUCUACGUUAUGACAAGUAGUUUAUGAGGAAAAAUUUUCUUCGUAACUUUUCGUCGUUACGGAAACGUU